GCCGGGCGUUGUGGCCGGCGCCUGUAGUCCCAGCUACUUGGGAGGCGGAGGCAGGAGACUCGCUUGAGCCCAGGAGUUGGAGGUUGCUGUGAGCUGUGAUGCCAUGGUACUCUACCCAGGACAACAGCCUGAGGCUCUGUCUCAAAAAAAUAAAAAAAAAUAAAAUGCAAUGUCUGAGUUUUGGGAGACUUCAUUUAAUAAGUACUGCCAGUGAUUCUUUUUUUUUUUUUUUUUGAGACAGAGCCUCAAGCUGUCCCCCUGGGUAGAGUGCUGUGGCAUCACAGCUCACAGCAACCUCCAACUCCUGGGCUCAAGCAAGUCUCUUGCCUCCG
rfam:Otolemur garnettii contig147756, whole genome shotgun sequence.